rnacentral:lncRNA from 1 species
UGAGAAUGGCGUGAACCCAGGAGGUGGAGCUUGCAGUGAGCCGAGAUCACACCAUUGUACUCCACCCUGGGUGACAGAGUGAGACUCUGUCUCAAAAAAAAAAAACACAUGGGACAUAUACACCCUUUGUGGGUGACCUCCCUUUCCUCCCUUUCGCUGCUCUUCUCUCCCCUGUUUUUUUCUCUGUUCCCCAAGCUGGAGUGCAGUGCCACAAUCUCAGCUCACUGCAACCUCUACCUCCUGGGUUCAAGUGAUUCUCAUGCCUCAGCCUCCCAAGUAGCUUGGAUUAUAGGCACACGCCACCAUGUCUAGCUAAGUUUUAUAUUUUAGUAGAGAUGGGGUUUUACCAUGUUGGCCAGGCUGGUCUCGAACUCCUGACCUCAGGUGAUCCGUCCAUCUCAGCCUCCCAAAGUGCUGGGAUUACAGGCACGAGCCACCAUCCCUGGCCCUCCUCUCCUUUUCAUCUGAUGUCCUCUGACCUCCUCUUUAUUGGCCUCCAGGCACCCAGCAUCCUUCUGUCUCUCCCAGGUUACUGAAGAGCAAUAGCCACUUGAAUGAGGAGUGCGGGGAACUCCUCUUGCGAAGAGGAACCACAAAGGUGGCCACAGGUCUGGUUCUGAACAGAGACCAGAGGAUCUCCUGGCCUGAGAACAGCUUUGACUUCCUCAGCAGGGAGUUGUAUGCGCAUUCCAUCAGGAAGCUGCAGGCCCAUGUCCUGUUCAUCAAAGCAGUCCACGGAUAUUUUGAUGUGAGAAGAGAGAGUUACUAUAGCAAGGAGUCCCUGUCGUUCAUGAUACACAUGCUGAAGUCCACCCUCAAAGAGGUAAGGCGGGGCUCAGGCAGCUGGUGUCCGGCCACUGCCACCCACUCUGGUCCCACCUCACCCAUCUCUUCUCAUGCACUGAGAAGACCCCUGGUCUGGCCCCAGGCCCAACAAGUGACCACCAGGAUCUCUCAGGCCUCGUGCUCCACUGUGGUCAGUCCCUAGAGGCCUGGGGACACAUGUCAUCAGAAUUCAGGAAACAGAGACCUUUGGUGGGGAGAUUCUUUUAUCAUCCUCGAGUACCCACCCUCCUUCCUGGGCCAGACACAAUUAGGUGACCCAACUGCCAGAGGCAGUCCGUGGACAUCUGCAGAGCGUCCCACAGUUUUUAUU